AAGUUUGACAAUGGCCAAAAACAAAUUAAAAUGGCAGAAGUCCAGGAAUGUAUUUCACAUAGUCAGCCAAAAAUCCUUCAAGGUUAAAAAAACGAGGUAAAACUACUAGUAUUAAGAAGAUAAACAAUAUGAAGGUUCAAAAGUUAACAGAGUGAACAGGGCUUUUGUAAAUAUACUGAAGGAACUUGCAAACUUUUCAAAGGCCUUUCUUUUAAAUCUAUGCAGAAAGAGCGGCAGCACCAUGAAAACAAACCAGUUAAUAUUGACAAAGCAG
rnacentral:lncRNA from 1 species